rnacentral:rRNA from 1 species
GAUCUUGGCUCAGGAUGAACGCUAGCUACAGGCUUAACACAUGCAAGUCGGAGGGGCAGCAUGGUCUUAGCUUGCUAAGGCCGAUGGCGACCGGCGCACGGGUGAGUAACACGUAUCCAACCUGCCGUCUACCCUUGGACAGCCUUCUGAAAGGAAGAUUAAUACAAGAUGGCAUCAUGAGUCCGCAUGUUCACAUGAUUAAAGGUAUUCCGGUAGACGAUGGGG